UUACUGACCUGGCAGGGGAGACACCAGGAUCACGAAAGUGUUUUUCUCAGGGCAAGGCUUUUCCAUUGCACUCCAGAUGUGCUGACCCCUUCGAUUUCCCCAAAUGUGGGAAACAUGACGGCAUGAUUUGUGGUAGUGGGGGACUGCGUUCACACUCUGCCCUA